GACAGAGGGUGCAAACGUUGCUCGGAAUCACUGGGCGUAAAGGGCGUGUAGGCGGGAGAGAAAGUCGGGCGUGAAAUCCCUGGGCUCAACCCAGGAACUGCACUCGAAACUUCUUUUCUUGAGUGCCGGAGAGGAAAGCGGAAUACCUGGUGUAGAGGUGAAAUUCGUAGAUAUCAGGUGGAACACCAGUGGCGAAGGCGGCUUUCUGGACAGUAACUGACGCUGAGACGCGAAAGCGUGGGGAGCAAACAGG
rnacentral:rRNA from 1 species